GGAGUUAGCCGGUGCUUCUUCUGUGAGUGAUGUCCUUCCUGCCGGCUAUUAACCCGCAGGCCUUCUUCCUCACUGAAAGUGCUUUACAACCCGAAGGCCUUCUUCACACACGCGGCAUGGCUGGAUCAUGGUUGCCCCCAUUGUCCAAUAUUCCCCACUGCUGCCUCCCGUAGGAGUCUGGGCCGUGUCUCAGUCCCAGUGUGGCUGAUCAUCCUCUCAGACCAGCUACGGAUCGUCGCCUUGGUGAGCCGUUACCUCACCAACCAGCUAAUCCGACAUAGGCUCAUCCGAUAGCGCGAGGCCCGAAGGUCCCCCGCUUUCCCCCGUAGGGCGUAUGCGGUAUUAGCCUGGGUUUCCCCAGGUUAUCCCCCACUACCGGGCAGAUUCCUAUGCAUUACUCACCCGUCCGCCGCUCGCCACCAGGGAGCAAGCUCCCCGUGCUGCCGCUCGACUUGCAUGUGUUAGGCCUGCCGCCAGCGUUCAAUCUGAGCCAGGAUCAAACUCUGA
rnacentral:rRNA from 1 species